ACUGUGCACCUAAAUUCAGUAACUGCACAGGAUGAACUUGUAUAGAUUUUUGUGUGUCCGUUUGUCUAUCCAGGCCAUUUAACUUGAAGGAAUUAAGUUAAAAAGGAACACUGUUUUAUUGGGUUAUAAAGUGUGUCAAGCAUUUGACAAAUCAAUCUACUUGUGCCUUGGCCGCUUGUGUUUGUUUUUUUGUAUACUACGUGCAAAGUACAGGAAAUUACUCCUCUGAGACUUAAGAGACCGCUCUGCUCAUGAUCUCUAUCAGGAAGCACAGGAUGUAGGCUGUGGUGACUAAAAUCUAAAGUGUACAGCAAAUACCAGCAAUGGUGAGGUUAAGACCAUUCAAAGAGAAAAUAUGCUGCAAAGGUUUUCUGCUAUGAGAAGGGUCAUACCCUCCUAACAGGCCCAGUCUAGUACAUUCCAGAUGUUUGGGACUUCAAGUUGCCAGCAUUCCUGACUCAGUGCUGACAAGGUCGUCCAAAACAACUGGUUAAGGGAGGUUGUUAUAUGCUAAGGGUUGCAAUUGAUAGGGAAGAAACUACAGCCUUCUAGAUGUUGCAGGGUGCAACCCAGAAACUUUGUCCUGUAUGGUCAGUGGUGAGUUAUGGGAGUUGCAGGUCAAGAACAUCUGUAUUCUGAGAAAAUAAAAUUGGAUGGAUAGCUAGUCUGUUAGUAUCUUUACAAAAGCAUAAUGCAGUGGUUCUUAACCUGAUGAUCCCCAGAUGUUUUUGCCUUCAGUUCCCAGAAAUCCUAACAGCUGGUAAACUGGCUGGGAUUUCUGGGAGUUGUAGGCCAAAACACGUGGAGACUCACAGGUUGAGAACCACUGAUCUGGAGAGUCACCUAAUUCCCAGCCCACCUGUAAAGAUAUAGUUCUUUGUAUGAAAUGAAGGAAUGUUUUUUACCAGUUCUUGACAAAACUUUUGUGUCUAAGGUGUUAUUAAUGUUCUGGCCAAUUUGAAAAUCAUGCAGAUUAUUAGAUUUAGAAUUUGGUCCUUGUAUACCUGUUAUUGUCAAUUCUGAUUUAUGGCAACCCUAAAGUGAAUCCAUCAUGAGAUUUUGGGGGACUGGGAGUGUGUGACUUGCAUAAGGUCGUGCAGUGGAUUUCCACAGUUGACCAUAAAAUCAUACUCUUGCAUUAAUAGUUGUAGUCUUAACAUUUAAACUAUUACACCAUGCUGGCUCUUCAUAUGCUGUGUGCUGUAUACGUGUAUAAAGUAAUAUUUAUUUAAAUUGUCUUUGUGGUGUGAGAAAGAUUGCCAUGAUCCAGAACUAUCCAGUGUAAAAUAAACUUUAUUUUAAAUUUUAUUUGAUACGUUCUAACAAUUAUCAAACUUUGCCAUACAAGACUUAUUUUAGUAUACAUUAUUCCAAAAGUAAAUAUUCCUUAUGCAUUCCUUAGAUAUGUAUCACCCAUCACCCACACACACCCCAUUCCCCCCACCCUCCUGGAACAGCAAUUUUAAAUUCAGUGUAAAAGAAACUUGAGCCAGUGAGGUCCAUCACGUCUACAUUCAAUCUCAGCCCAUAACUGAGUGCCACCAUGGACUUUUCUCCUCCCAAUAAAUUUAAAGAACAAAGAGUUUCUAUAUGGAGAAAAAGUGCAGGAGUGUGCUUUAUGAAACUGAAAGAAGAGUUUCUGAUUUGUUGUUGAGUGUUUUAAUUCUAUUUAUCUGAUAUUAUUACGGCUGUUCUGUAACCGAUUUUUCAACAAAUGAGGCACAAAUAUUUCCUUAUUCUUUCCCAUUAAUAUGUGUAUUUUAAAGAAUGUUUUGGGGUGAAUGUGUUUUAGCAAUGUAACCCUCCUUGAGCUGUGAGAAGAGGGGCAAGAAAUAAAAAUUAUUAUUAUCAUUAU